rnacentral:rRNA from 1 species
AGAGUUUGAUCCUGGCUCAGGACGAACGCUGGCGGCGUGCCUAAUACAUGCAAGUCGAGCGAGCUUGCCUAGAUGAUUUUAGUGCUUGCACUAAAUGAAACUAGAUACAAGCGAGCGGCGGACGGGUGAGUAACACGUGGGUAACCUGCCCAAGAGACUGGGAUAACACCUGGAAACAGAUGCUAAUACCGGAUAACAACACUAGACGCAUGUCUGGAGUUUGAAAGAUGGUUCUGCUAUCACUCUUGGAUGGACCUGCGGUGCAUUAGCUAGUUGGUAAGGUAACGGCUUACCAAGGCAAUGAUGCAUAGCCGAGUUGAGAGACUGAUCGGCCACAUUGGGACUGAGACACGGCCCAAACUCCUACGGGAGGCAGCAGUAGGGAAUCUUCCACAAUGGACGAAAGUCUGAUGGAGCAACGCCGCGUGAGUGAAGAAGGGUUUCGGCUCGUAAAGCUCUGUUGGUAGUGAAGAAAGAUAGAGGUAGUAACUGGCCUUUAUUUGACGGUAAUUACUUAGAAAGUCACGGCUAACUACGUGCCAGCAGCCGCGGUAAUACGUAGGUGGCAAGCGUUGUCCGGAUUUAUUGGGCGUAAAGCGAGUGCAGGCGGUUCAAUAAGUCUGAUGUGAAAGCCUUCGGCUCAGCCGGAGAAUUGCAUCAGAAACUGUUGAACUUGAGUGCAGAAGAGGAGAGUGGAACUCCAUGUGUAGCGGUGGAAUGCGUAGAUAUAUGGAAGAACACCAGUGGCGAAGGCGGCUGUCUGGUCUGCAACUGACGCUGAGGCUCGAAAGCAUGGGUAGCGAACAGGAUUAGAUACCCUGGUAGUCCAUGCCGUAAACGAUGAGUG